ACGAACGCUGGCGGCGUGCUUAACCCAUGCAAGUCGAACGGUGAAGCGCCUUCCUUUUUGGUGGGUGUGGAUGAGUGGCGAACGGGUGAGUAACACGUGAGUAACCUGCCCCCUUCUUCUGGAUAACCGCAUGAAAGUGUGGCUAAUACGGGAUAUUCUGGGUCUGUCGCAUGAUGGGUCUGGGAAAGAUAUUGUUUCGGUGGGGGAUGGGCUCGCGGCCUAUCAGCUUGUUGGUGGGGUGAUGGCCUACCAAGGCGGGGACGGGUAGCCGGCCUGAGAGGGUGGACGGUCACACUGGGACUGAGACACGGCCCAGACUCCUACGGGAGGCAGCAGUGGGGAAUAUUGCACAAUGGGCGCAAGCCUGAUGCAGCGACGCCGCGUGAGGGAUGGAGGCCUUCGGGUUGUGAACCUCUUUCGCCAGUGAAGCAGGCCUGCCUCGUUUGUGGGUGGGUUGACGGUAGCUGGAUAAGAAGCGCCGGCUAACUACGUG
rnacentral:rRNA from 1 species